rnacentral:rRNA from 1 species
GACGAACCGUGCGAACGUUGUUCGGAAUCACUGGGCUUAAAGGGCGCGUAGGCGGGCCCGAAAGUCAGGGGUGAAAUCCCACGGCUCAACCGUGGAAGUGCCUCUGAUACUGCGGGCCUCGAGGGAGGUAGGGGCGUGCGGAACUUCCGGUGGAGCGGUGAAAUGCGUAGAUAUCGGAAGGAACACCGGUGGCGAAAGCGGCGCGCUGGACCUCUUCUGACGCUGAGGCGCGAAAGCCAGGGGAGCAAACGGG